rnacentral:pre_miRNA from 1 species
AUUUUAACUUAGUGAGACUCUGACGGUAGCUUUGAACGGUAUCUGAGAGACGCGGGUUAGAGUCCUGCUUCGUUAAAAU